GACGAACCGUGCGAACGUUAUUCGGAAUCACUGGGCUUAAAGCGCGUGUAGGCGGAUGGGAACGUCGGUCGUUGAAAGCCCCCGGCUCAACCGGGGAAUGGGCGCCGAAACGGCCCGUCUGGAGGGACGUAGGGGGACCUGGAACUUCCGGUGGAGCGGUGAAAUGCGUUGAGAUCGGAAGGAACGCCCGUGGCGAAAGCGAGGUCCUGGACGUCUGCUGACGCUGAGACGCGAAAGCUAGGGGAGCGAACGGG
rnacentral:rRNA from 1 species